UACGAAUGUCCCUAGCGUUCUCCGGAACUAUUGGGCGUAAAGGGUGCGUAGGUGGCUUUGUGCGUCUGUUGUUAAAUGUCACGGCUCAACUGUGACGCCGCAAUGGAUACGGCAAAGCUAGAGGACGCGAGAGGUCUGUGGAACUCAUGGUGUAGGGGUGAAAUCCGUUGAUAUCAUGGGGAACACCAAAGGCGAAGGCAGCAGACUGGCGCGUUUCUGACACUGAGGCACGAAAGCGUGGGGAGCAAAAAGG
rnacentral:misc_RNA from 1 species